UAGGGAAUCUUCGGCAAUGGGGGGCAACCCUGACCGAGCAACGCCGCGUGAGUGAAGAAGGUUUUCGGAUCGUAAAGCUCUGUUGUAAGAGAAGAACGUGUGUGAGAGUGGAAAGUUCACACAGUGACGGUAACUUACCAGAAAGGGACGGCUAACUACGUACCAG
rnacentral:rRNA from 1 species